rnacentral:tRNA from 1 species
CAGAGACGUAGUUUAAAGGCAAGUAUUCUGGCUUUGGGUGCCAGAGGUGGGGGUUCGACUCCCCCCGUUCUGA